rnacentral:rRNA from 1 species
GACGAACGCUGGCGGCGUGCUUAACACAUGCAAGUCGAACGGAAAGGCCCUGCUUUUUUUGGGUGCUCGAGUGGCGAACGUUUUUGUAACACGUGAGUAACCUGCCCUUGACUUUGGGAUAUCUUCAGGAAACUUUUGCUAAUACCGCAUAGGAGCUCCUGCUGCAUGUUGGGGGUUGGAAAGUUUCGGCGGUUGGGUAUGGACUCGCGGCUUAUCAGCUUGUUGGUUGGGUAUUGGCUUACCAAGGCUUUGACGGGUAGCCGGCCUGAGAGGGUGACGGGCCACAUUGGGACUGAGAUACGGCCCAGACUCCUACGGGAGGCAGCAGGGGGGAAUAGUGCACAAUGGGAGGAAGCCUGAUGAAGAAAAGCCGCGUGGGGGAUGACGGCCUUCGGGUUGUAAACCGCUUUCGCCUGUGACGAAGCGUGAGUGACGGUAAUGGGUAAAGAAGCACCGGCUAACUACGUG